ensembl:lncRNA
AGUCCUCACAGGGAGCAGGGGUAGAGGGGAAGAGGCUGCUGUGCAGAAGGCGGAUAGAGUUGUCUUGUUUUAAUGUGGCCCCUGCAGGCUGAGUUUCGUUUUGUGAUCCAUCUGCCUUAGAGAUGCCGACACAACGCAAAGCAUGCUUUUAAAAAAGGAAUUUGAACAUUACAGCAACUUUGAAAAUGAAAGUCCUUCAUAAACUGCUCUUCCAAGUGUGGUUUGGUAUCUCCUGGGAACUGGCCAGAAAUGCAGAGUCUCAGGCCCCUUCCAGCAUGACCUGCCGAAUGAGAACCUGCAUUUGACUGAAUCCCACUGACUCACAGGCUCCUGAGAGCGAGAAGAGCCAGCUGCAACCCUCCUGUCCACAAGCCCGGCGAAGAUAAUAAUGUCAUCGGUUGUGUGUGCACUUAAGAGCCAUUUAAAAUGUGCACUCUUCUAACCUCUUCCAGUCAUUACCUGCAAUUUUCAGGCCUUGUCUAAAACCAAAAUCCUCAUCAAUGUCAUUCAGCAGGAAGCUAAUAAAGACAUCAUUAUCUUGUCUGUCAGCUGCCCUCUUGCCCCGUCUCCAACCCCAGCAGUCACGGUGAUGGUUCUAAAACAUAAACCGAUCGCAUCACUCUCCCGCUUAGACUCCUGCCCUGCCUUUCCAUGGGAGCGCAGUCCUUGCCCUCUGCUGCCUGUUUCUGACAUGCUGACCUUCUCUUUUGGGCCAUCUGGAUCUUUGCACUCUCGCUUCUGUGCAUGGAUGCCCUUUCCUCCUUCCUCUCGGCUGGUUCCUUUUCAUCCUUCAUGUCUCAGCUUAAAUGUCACCUCCUCAGAGGUGUGAGGUGAAAUGACCAUAUGGGGAAAGCACGCCCUUGCUCUUUAUCACAGCUCAUGUCAGUCACCAGCCAUGGUCAGGACUCUCUCUCUGGAGGAGUGUAAAUCCCACAAGGGCAGAGACCAUCCUGUCUGCUGCUCUCCCUUGGACCCUUGUACUUGGCACAGCAUCUUAAUAAACAUCUAUUGAAUUAAUGCCUUCUUUCUAGAGACCAGGUAUCUGAAUAUCAUCACCUUGUUUGUACUGACUUGUUGAAAUUAUAAAAAUAAUAG